GUUCAAAGUACAUUUGCAACAGUCUGGGAGAACAACAUUGCAGGAGAUGGAAUGAGUGUUGUAAAGCAGCUGACAAUUGUUGCCAACACCAACUGAAAACACGUAUUUCUCCUCUAGAAAGAAACAUGUGCCCUCGUACAUGGGAUGGUCUUAAAUGCUUUGAUGAUACUGAUGCUGGAACUUCUGUUAAGUUUUCCUGCCCUGGAUACAUGAAAGAUGGCAAUAUGCAAGGUCAUGGUGUAAAGGACUGUACUGAAAGAGGCACCUGGGCAAUACUGCCGAUUUCCGGCAAAGAAUGGACCAAUUACACAGGGUGUAUGAAUAUACAGGUUGGUACAAGUCGUCCUGAUGUUUU